rnacentral:rRNA from 1 species
UACAGAGGUCUCAAGCGUUGUUCGGAUUCAUUGGGCGUAAAGGGUGCGUAGGCGGCGCGGUAAGUCGGGUGUGAAAUUUCGAGGCUUAACUUCGAAACUGCAUUCGAUACUGCCGUGCUUGAGGACUGGAGAGGAGACUGGAAUUUACGGUGUAGCGGUGAAAUGCGUAGAGAUCGGAAAAGAACACCAACGGCGAAAGCACUCUGCUGGGCCGACACUGACACUGGAGAGACGAAAGCUAGGGGAGCGAAUGGG